rnacentral:rRNA from 1 species
GCUAGUUGCACGAGUUCAGACUCGUAGCAGAUAGCUCAGUAACACGUGGCCAAACUACCCUAUGGAUCCGGACAACCUCGGGAAACUGAGGCUAAUCCGGAAUACGACUCUCAGGCUGGAAUUGCUGGGAAUCCGAACCGCUCCGGCCCCAUAGAAUGGGGCUGCGGCCAAUUAGGUAAACGGGGGGGUAACGCCCCACCGGGCCAAUAAUCGGUACGGUUUGUGAAAGCAAGAGCCCGGAAACGGAAUCUGAAACAAGAUACCGGGCCCUACGGGGCGCACCAGGCCCGAAACCUUUACACGGCACGCAAGUGCAAUAAGGGGACUCCAAUUGCGAGGGCUUAUAUUCUUCCUUUU